AUGGCCGACUCCCCCGAAUUAGCUCGUGCUCGUGACGUCCUGCGCGUGAGCGCCGACGACCGCGCGCGGGUGGACGCGCUCUCCUCCGCCGCGUCCGCAUACGUAUCGGCGGCUUCUCCUCAUCUGUCGCCGAGCUUCUUCGAGGGGUUCGCGCUGCGCAGGAUCCGCGUCCUCAGCGUUCACCCGGGAUUCAUCCACUGCUCGUACGACGUCCCUCCAAGCCUCACCGACUCCAGCACCGGCUGCCUCGCCGCCGGUGUAGUGGCGGCCCUGGUGGACGAGAUCGGCUACGCCGCGGCCAUCUCCGACGCCCAAAACUUCAAGAUCUCCGUGGACAUGUCCGUCGCCUUCCCCGAUCUCUCCCAGGCCCGCGCAGGGGACCGCCUGAGCAUAACGGCGAGGGUGCUCGGACACAAGGGUGCCUACUCCGGCACGCACGUGCUCCUCACCAACGCCAGCACCGGCAAUGUCGUCGCUGAGGGCAGGCACUCCGUCUUCGGUAACCUGACGAAAGCACCACUCAAGCCAGCAGCCACUACUGGUCUGAAAAGCAACUUGUGA
rnacentral:rRNA from 1 species